UGGGGAAUAUUGCACAAUGGGCGGAAGCCUGAUGCAGCGACGCCGCGUGAGGGAUGACGGCCUUCGGGUUGUAAACCUCUUUCAGCAGGGACGAAGCGUGAGUGACGGUACCUGCAGAAGAAGCGCCGGCCAACUACGUGCCAGCAGCCGCGGUAAGACGUAGGGCGCAAGCGUUGUCCGGAUUUAUUGGGCGUAAAGAGCUCGUAGGCGGCUUGUCGCGUCGACUGUGAAAACCCGCAGCUCAACUGCGGGCUUGCAGCCGAUACGGGCGGGCUAGAGUUCGGUAGGGGAGACUGGAAUUCCUGGUGUAGCGGUGAAAUGCGCAGAUAUCAGGAGGAACACCGGUGGCGAAGGCGGGUCUCUGGGCCGAUACUGACGCUGAGGAGCGAAAGCGUGGGGAGCGAACAGG
rnacentral:rRNA from 1 species